CAACAUUGUCAUCCCACGUAUUGGAGCAAAUACGACAUUGUCAUCCCAUGUUUUGGAGUAAAUACAACAUUGUCAUCCCACAUAGUGGAGUAAAUACAACAUCGCCAUCCCACAUAGUGGAGUAAAUACAACAUCGCCAUCCCACAUAUUGGAGUAAAUAUGGCAGCGUCGUCCCACAAAUUGGAGUAAAUACAACAUUGUCAUCCCACGCAUUGGAGUAAAUACAACAUCGUCAUCCCACGUAUUGGGGUAAAUACAACAUUGUCAUCCCACGUAUUGGAGUAAAUACAACAUCGUCAUCCCACAUAUUGGAGUAAAUACAACAUCGCCAUCCCACCUGUUGGAAUAAAUACAACAUCGCCAUCCCACGUAUUGGAUGGGACAUUGUCAUCCCACGUAUUGGAGUAAAUAGGACAACGUAAUCCCAUGUAUUGGAGUAAAAACAGCAUUGUCAUCCCAUGUAUUGGAGUAAAUACGACAUCGUCAUCCCACGUAUUGGAGUAAAUACAACAUUGUCAUCCCACGUAUUGGAGUAAAUACGACAUUGUCAUCCCACGUAUUGGAGUAAAUACAACAUUGUCAUCCCACGUAUUGGAGUAAAUACAACAUCGUCAUCCCACGUAUUGGAGUAAAUACAACAUUGUCAUCCCACAUAUUGGAGUAAAUACAACAUCGCCAUCCCACGUAUUGGAGUAAAUACGACAUCGUCAUCCAACGUAUUGGAGUAAAUACAACAUUGUCAUCCCACGUAUUCAAGUAAAUAAGACAUCGUCAUCCAACGUAUUGGAGUAAAAACAGCAUUGUCAUCCCACGUAUUGGAGUAAAUACGACAUCGUCCUCCCACCUGUUGGAGUAAAUACAAUGUUUUCAUUCCACCUGUUAUGUGUGUAAUAAUAUACAUGUAAACUGUAGGCAUUUUAGUGGUAGUUUUCUCAAUUUGCCAAUAUUACUUGUGUAAGUAGGACUUCAGUUUUCUUGUGUUGGUCUUUGUUACACCUGGAAAUCUAGAAUCUGGUCACCACUGAUCUGGUUGUUCCACCACACAAUGUUUUACAGGACACAGUGAUUUUCUAAACACAGUGGCUCAGCCAUUUCCCCUUUAAUUAACCUGAGUAUCAUGGCUUACAAACCACUUCUGCUGGAAACAAAGGUGGCUGGAUUAUUGAUGCUCCACUGUUUAUCUUUUAGGUCAUUUUAAUUCUCAUCCAUUUUUAAAUUGAUUUCUAGAAGUGUUAGGUAACUGGUUUUACUGUUUUUCUUUUUAAUUUUUUCAUUAAAAAAAUUGUUAUGUUCUAUAAAAAAAAAACAAAAAAACCCCCAAUAAAAUGUACUUCUACUAUCAAGACUGUCAAUGUAAAAAACGUAACCAGACACAUAGAAACAAAGGAAAGUGAAGUCUGAAAUUGUGUUUUUCAAAAUAUUGGAAAUUGAUUGAGAAAUUUAUUCAUUUGAACAUUUUAGAUAGUCAUUUUUAUUAUGUACUUUGUUAGUUUUGUUUCUCUGGUAUCUUUUUAUUCUUCAGAUUUUAUUUCUAGUCUUCUUGAGGUAUUGAUUACUUCACCAUCUCUUACAUAUACACAUACUUAAGCUGGGAUACACAGAUUAUUUCCCUCUUGCUUACACUUUCUUUUAGAAGGUGUCUCCCUCUAGCUAGCCUGUUAAGACGAUAUAGGGGACCCAUACACAAUGUAGUAAUCUGUCCUGUUAUUCUGUAAUAUUCAUUGAAAUGGCACUUUAAAAAAUGUCCCCAGAUAGGAAAUAUAGAAUUUGCACAGAACAAUAUAAAUGUCACAAAGUGCAAAGGUCACACAGAAUAUAAAUGUCACACAGAAUAUCAAUGUCACACAUAAUAUAGAGAAUACACAGAACAUUGAGAAUAUACCAAAAUACAUAGGUCACACAGAAGAUAUAACAAAAUACGUAGGUCACACAGAAGAUAUAACAAAAUAUAUAGAUCCCACAGAAGGUAUAACAAAAUACAUAGGUCACACAGAAUGUAGACAUUACACAGAGAGCAUGGAGGUCACAAAAUACAUAGGUCACACAGAUGAUAUAACAAAAUACAUAGGUCACACAGAAGAUAUAACAAAAUACGUAGGUCACACAGAAGAUAUAACAAAAUACAUAGGUCACACAGAAGAUAUAACAAAAUACAUAGGUCACACAGAAUGUAGAGAUUACACAGAGAGCAUGGAGGUCACAAAAUACAUAGGUCACACAGAAGAAAUAGCAAAAUACAUAGGUCACACAGAAGAUAUAACAAAUUCAUAGGUCACACUGACACAUAAUGUAGAGAUUACACAGAGAGCAUGGAGGUCACAAAGUACAAAGGUCACUCAGAAUAUAAAGGUCACAUAAUAUAGAAAUCACACAGAACAUAAAGGUCACACAUAAUACAUAGGUCACACAAUAUAUAGAUCAUACAGAAUACAAAGGUAACACAAAAUAAAAAGAUCACACAGCAUAUAGAGGUCACAUGAACAUAAAAGUCAUACAGAAUACAGAGGUCACACAGAAUAUAAAGAUCACACAGAAUACAAAGGUAACACAUCAUAUACAGAUCAUACAGCAUAUAGAGGUCACAUAGAACAUAAAAGUCAUACAGAAUAUAGAGGUCACACAGAAUAUAGCAGUGACAGCGAAUAUAGAGCACACAGAACAUAGAGGUCUCCCAUAAUACAGAGGUCACAUAGAACAUAGAGGUCAUGCAUAAUACAGAGGUCACAUAGAACAUAGAGGUCAUGCAUAAUACAGAGGUCACAUAUAACAUAAAUGUCAUGCAUAACAUAGAGGUCACAUAGAACAUAGAGGUCACACAGAACAUAAAGGUCACCUAGAACAUAAAGGUCACAUAGAACAUAGAGGUUACACAGAACAUAGAGGUUACACAGAAUAUAGAGGUUAAACAGAACAUAGAGGUCAUGCAUAAUACAAAGGUCACAUAGAACAUAGAGGUUAAAUAGAACAAAGAGGUCACAUAGAACAUAAAGGUCACAUAGAACAUAGAGGUUACACAGAACAUAGACGUUACACAGAAUAAAGAGGUCACACAGAACAUAGACGUUACACAGAACAUAGAGGUUACACAGAGCGUAGAGUUUACACAGAACAUAGAGGUUACACAUAACAUAGACGUUACAAAGAAUAAAGAGGUCACACAGAGCGUAGAGGUUACACAGAACAUAGAGGUUACACAGAACAUAGAGGUUAAACCAAACAUAGAGGUCACACAGAAUAAAGAGGUUGCACAGAACAUAGAGGUCACAGAUUAUAGAGGUCACAAAGAAAAUAGAGGUCACACAGAAUAUAGAGGUCAAACAAUACAGCAGUGACACAAAAAAAGAGCACAUGGAACAUAGAGAUCACACAAUACAGAGGUCACACAGAACAUAGAGGUCACAGAUUAUAGGUCUCACAAAAUGUAGGGGUCACUCAGAAUACUGAGGCCACACAGAACAAAAAGGUCACACAGUACAGAGGUCACAAAUGAUAUGACAAAUAUAUUAAUGAAGCUAACGGUCUCUAUCUUUGUGCCAGAUCUAUUUAGUUACAAUCAAUUCUAUAUCCUAACUUUGGUAUUUAGUAGUCAUUAUACAUUUAUUGUAGUUAUACUUUUUAUUUGAAAUGUUAUACCAGUUGUCAUAAAAAGAAUUACAAUUUGUUUUUAAUUCUUGAUGCAUAAUUUAACCAAGAAUAAGUUCCUGUGCCAAUGUUAGCUAAUUAUAUUUUACCACUGGUAGGCCUAGGUCUGUACUCUGGUACGUACUAGAUACCGGUAGCUACCCACAUUUCACAAGACUGAGGUUUUGUUUUCUGUGUUAGGUGACUGUCUGAAUAUAUUUGAACAAAUCUGUAUAGAUAUUGACAAAGAAGUGUUAUAUUAAUAAUGUUGUUCAAUUUUAUUAGCUCACCUGGCACGAAGUGCCAAGUAAGCUUAUGCUGACCCGCGGCGUCCGUCGUCUGUUCGU